AAUCAGGAGGGAAGGUGGAGCCCACAAUCUUUGCAAACUCUCUGGGGAGCCAGGGGUUGGUAGCUGGGAAGACUUGGGUGGUGACCCUGGGGGAGGGGAAGGGGCCGGGGAGCGGGGAAUGGGGGCAGCCCCUGGGGAGGAAUGGGAGAGGGAGGAGGACGCCAGGGGCACAGGGACAGCCUCCGGGGCGGGGCGCGGCGCCAGCCUAGCCCGAGGAUGGAGGCUGAGGCCGCCUGUUGAGUCACAGGUUUUGGCAGAGUUCAAAGACUGGGAAGCAAAGUUCAGCCAUGUUGGGCCUUUGGGCUCAUAGAUGAGCAAGGGUACCCCAAUAUGAGGGCUCAGCAAAUUCUGGAACUUAUCAGUUCUGAAGACCUUUAGAGGAGAAGGAGACAAGUAAAAGGUAUGUAGUCCUGGAGGGCGCUGCUUAAUGAACCAGAAGUCCUGCCUCUUAAGUACCUCACCAGCUCAAAUGUGUGCAUGUCACCUUGGCGUGAAUCGGAGCAGGCGCUGGUGGAUACCGUUUGGAGGCAUGCCAGCAAGGAGCUCCUUGUGUAGCCUGCCUCUGGAGCCUCAAGUUCAACUUCCAUAGGGCCAAAAGGGGAGUCGGGCUGGGCAGAAGCUCCUGAGAACCAAAGCAAAUGGUCUGAGAGUCUGAGAGUGUAGUGGAGGUAACGUGUUCGUGUCCUCUCUGGCUGCAUCACCCCAAGUCCUUGCAGACUCAAGUAGCCUAUUUGCAAGUUUAAAUAGUUUGAGUCCUGGCCGGUAACAAGAAUACUCUACAGUGGCCCAGAGUCAGGGAUAUAGAGUGGCGACUACUUGGCAGAACUGGAGCUUGCUCAGAUGAAAAGAUAAAUUGUACUGGUUAAACGA
rnacentral:lncRNA from 1 species